rnacentral:tRNA from 1 species
GGCGCUUUGGCUGAGUGGUUAUAGCGUUAGACUAGAAAUCUAAUUCCUUCGGGAGCGCAGGUUCGAGUCCUGCAGGCGUCG